rnacentral:lncRNA from 1 species
GAAGUUAGAGGAAUUCUGAAGUUUGGUUUUGGUUAGAGGGAGUGUAUGAUGAGGUCGAUAGACUUGAAGGGAGUGAGGGUUCUAUUAUGAAAAAAUGGGAGAGGUUUGUUGAAAGGUUGUUACAAUUCUGUUAUAGAGAUAUUGAUUAGAGGUUUGUUAGAAUGAAGUUUAGAGUUUUUGCUCCAUUCUGUUUUGGAGUGAGAUUCUUCUGUUAUAAGGGUUUGUAUUUAUGUCUUUAUCAGUUGGAGGUGCGAUUUUGAAGAAGGUUACAAUUUCUUUCUCUUGAAGAGGUUAGGGAAUGGUUUUAACCGUUUUUGAGUUGGUUGUAAUUCAGUUAUAGGGAG